rnacentral:rRNA from 1 species
GAUGAACGCUGGCGGUCUGCUUAACACAUGCAAGUCGAACGGAACUCUUCGGAGUUUAGUGGCGGACGGGUGAGUAACGCGUGAGAAUCUGCCUUCAGGUUGGGGACAACAGUUGGAAACGACUGCUAAUACCCAAUGUGCCGAGAGGUGAAAGCUUUAGUGCCUGAAGAUGAGCUCGCGUCUGAUUAGCUAGUUGGUGAGGUAAUGGCUUACCAAGGCGACGAUCAGUAGUUGGUCUGAGAGGAUGAUCAGCCACACUGGGACUGAGACACGGCCCAGACUCCUACGGGAGGCAGCAGUGGGGAAUUUUCCGCAAUGGGCGCAAGCCUGACGGAGCAAGACCGCGUGAGGGAGGAAGGCUCUUGGGUUGUAAACCUCUUUUAUCAGGGAAGAAGAUCUGACGGUACCUGAUGAAUCAGCAUCGGCUAACUCCGUGCCAGCAGCCGCGGUAAUACGGAGGAUGCAAGCGUUAUCCGGAUUUAUUGGGCGUAAAGCGUCCGCAGGUGGUUUUUCAAGUCUGCUGUUAAAGCGCAGAGCUUAACUCUGUAACGGCGGUGGAAACUGAGAGACUAGAGUAUGGUAGGGGUAGCGGGAAUUCCCAGUGUAGCGGUGAAAUGCGUAGAUAUUGGGAAGAACACCAGCGGCGAAAGCGCGCUACUGGGCCAUAACUGACACUCAUGGACGAAAGCUAGGGGAGCGAAAGGGAUUAGAUACCCCUGUAGUCCUAGCUGUAAACGAUGGGUACUAGGUGUUGACCG